rnacentral:rRNA from 1 species
GAGUUUGAUCCUGGCUCAGAACGAACGCUGGCCGGCAGGCCUAACACAUGCAGGUCGAACGAAGUCUUCGGACUUAGUGGCAGACGGGUGAGUAACUGCGUGGGAACCUACCUGGAGGUUCGGAAUAACUCGGGGAAACUCGGGCUAAUACCGGAUACGCCCUUACGGGGAAAGAUUUAUCGCCUUUAGAUGGGCCCGCGUUGGAUUAGCUUGUUGGUGAGGUAAAAGCUCACCAAGGCGACCAUCCAUAGCUGGUCUGAGAGGAUGAUCAGCCACACUGGGACUGAGACACGGCCCAGACUCCUACGGGAGGCAGCAGUGAGGAAUAUUCGGCAAUGGGCGCAAGCCUGACCGAGCCAUGCCGCGUGAGUGAAGAAGGCCCUAGGGUUGUCAAGCUCUUUCACCGAUGAACAUAAUGACUGUAGUCGGAGAAGAAGCCCCGGCUAACUUCGUGCCAGCAGCCCGUGGUAAUACGAAGGGGGCUAGCGUUGCUCGGAAUUACUGGGCGUAC